CUCGCCUGUCCGACCGUAGGUGCCGUCCGGCCGGGGAGCGGCGCUCCCGGCCUGGGGUUCCCCCAGCGUGGGGCCUUUCCCGCCCGCAGCGCUGAGGCCGAGGGUUUUCACCGUGAGCGUGGGGCUCCAGCCCUUCGCGUGGGUAUCGCUUAUCCCGUGUGUCCUUCCGGGGUCGCCUCCGGCCGAGCUGCUGGCGGGGGUUGCGGAAUGGGGCGGGGAGCACCCAAACUGCGGUCGCUUGGGCGAGGGAAGGCCAGAAGUGGGUAGCGGAGGGAAAACGGGUAGUUUCAGUGAUUUGGCUUAUGCUGCGGGUCUGCAAAGAGUCGAAGCAGCCACACUGCAGGCAGGAGCUGUAAGUUGCGGCAGCGACGUAGGAGUGAGCCAAGGAACCAGGAAACAUGAAAUCACUCAUCCUCUGCCUAGGUAUAAAAGAAGUUUGAAGAGUUUAUAUGCCUGUACCCGCCAAGAUGAGGCAAGAAAAAGAUUGACUUUUUGCACCUGGUUUCCUAACAACUUAUAA
rnacentral:lncRNA from 1 species